GAUGAACGCUGGCGGCGUGCCUAACACAUGCAAGUCGAACGGAGUACCCUCUGACUGAGAUUCGUCGAAGGAAGAGGAAUACUUAGUGGCGGACGGGUGAGUAACGCGUGGGUAACCUGCCUCAUAGAGGGGGACAACAGUUGGAAACGAUUGCUAAUACCGCAUAAGCCCGCAGUACCGCAUGGUACAGAGGGAAAAGAUUCAUCGCUAUGAGAUGGACCCGCGUUAGAUUAGCCAGUUGGCGGGGUAACGGCCCACCAAAGCAACGAUCUAUAGCCGGACUGAGAGGUUGAACGGCCACAUUGGGACUGAGACACGGCCCAAACUCC
rnacentral:rRNA from 1 species